rnacentral:rRNA from 1 species
CGUACAUCCAGAGAACUUAGCAGAGAUGCUUUGGUGCCUUCGGGAACUCUGAGACAGGUGCUGCAUGGCUGUCGUCAGCUCGUGUUGUGAAAUGUUGGGUUAAGUCCCGNAACGAGCGCAACCCUUAUCCUUUGUUGCCAGCGGUUCGGCCGGGAACUCAAAGGAGACUGCCGGUGAUAAACCGGAGGAAGGUGGGGAUGGCGUCAAGUCAUCAUGGCCCUUACGGCCAGGGCUACACACGUGCUACAAUGGCGCAUACAAAGAGAAGCGACCUCGCGAGAGCAAGCGGACCUCAUAAAGUGCGUCGUAGUCCGGAUUGGAGUCUGCAACUCGACUCCAUGAAGUCGGAAUCGCUAGUAAUCGUAGAUCAGAAUGCUACGGUGAAUACGUUCCCGGGCCUUGUACACACCGCCCGUCACACCAUGGGAGUGGGUUGCAAAAGAAGUAGGUAGCUUAACCUUCGGGAGGGCGCUUACCACUUUGUGAUUCAUGACUGGGGUGAAGUCGUAACAAGGUAAGCGUAGCGAG